AAAACGACUCUCGGCAACGGAUAUCUCGGCUCUCGCAUCGAUGAAGAACGUAGCGAAAUGCGAUACUUGGUGUGAAUUGCAGAAUCCCGUGAACCAUCGAGUCUUUGAACGCAAGUUGCGCCCGAAGCCAUCCGGCCGAGGGCACGUCUGCCUGGGCGUCACGCAUCGCG
rnacentral:rRNA from 1 species